AGUGAACGCUGGCGGUAGGCCUAACACAUGCAAGUCGAACGGCAGCACAGUAAGAGCUUGCUCUUACGGGUGGCGAGUGGCGGACGGGUGAGGAAUACAUCGGAAUCUACUUUUUCGUGGGGGAUAACGUAGGGAAACUUACGCUAAUACCGCAUACGACCUACGGGUGAAAGCAGGGGAUCUUCGGACCUUGCGCGAUUGAAUGAGCCGAUGUCGGAUUAGCUAGUUGGCGGGGUAAAGGCCCACCAAGGCGACGAUCCGUAGCUGGUCUGAGAGGAUGAUCAGCCACACUGGAACUGAGACACGGUCCAGACUCCUACGGGAGGCAGCAGUGGGGAAUAUUGGACAAUGGGCGAAAGCCUGAUCCAGCCAUACCGCGUGUGUGAAGAAGGCCUUCGGGUUGUAAAGCCCUUUUGUUGGGAAAGAAAAGCAGCAGGUUAAUACCCCGCUGUUCUGACGGUACCCAAAGAAUAAGCACCGGCUAACUUCGUG
rnacentral:rRNA from 1 species